rnacentral:rRNA from 1 species
GUAGUUAGCCGGAGCUUCCUCCUUGGGUACCGUCAUUUGUUUCGUCCCCAAGGACAGAGGUUUACAAUCCGAAAACCUUCUUCCCUCACGCGGCGUUGCUGGGUCAGGGUUUCCCCCAUUGCCCAAUAUUCCCCACUGCUGCCUCCCGUAGGAGUUUGGACCGUGUCUCAGUUCCAAUGUGGCCGAUCACCCUCUCAGGUCGGCUACCCAUCGUAGGUUUGGUGGGCCGUUACCUCACCAACUGCCUAAUGGGACGCGAGCUCAUCCAUAAGCGAUAAAUCUUUGACCUCUUUGCCAUGCGACAUUGUGGUCUUAUGCGGUAUUAGCAGCCGUUUCCAGCUGUUGUCCCCCUCUUAUGGGCAGAUUGCUCACGCGUUACUCACCCGUCCGCCACUCAGUCAUUUGAUCUUCCACCCGAAAGCUUCCGUUCAAAUGCUUCGUUCGACUUGCAUGUGUUAAGCACGCCGCCAGCGUUCGUCCUGAGCCAGGAUCAAACUCUGA